ACGAACGCUGGCGGCGUGCUUAACACAUGCAAGUCGAACGGAAAGGCCUCAGCUUGCUGGGGUACUCGAGUGGCGAACGGGUGAGUAACACGUGGGUGAUCUGCCUUGCACUCUGGGAUAAGCUUGGGAAACUGGGUCUAAUACCGGAUAUGAACUGCCUUUAGUGUGGUGGUUGAAAAGUUUUUUCGGUGCAAGAUGAGCUCGCGGCCUAUCAGCUUGUUGGUGGGGUAAUGGCCUACCAAGGCGUCGACGGGUAGCCGGCCUGAGAGGGUGUACGGCCACAUUGGGACUGAGAUACGGCCCAGACUCCUACGGGAGGCAGCAGUGGGGAAUAUUGCACAAUGGGCGGAAGCCUGAUGCAGCGACGCCGCGUGGGGGAUGACGGCCUUCGGGUUGUAAACUCCUUUCGACAGGGACGAAGCUUUUUGUGACGGUACCUGUAGAAGAAGCACCGGCUAACUACGUG
rnacentral:rRNA from 1 species